rnacentral:rRNA from 1 species
UACAUGUGGGGCAAGCGUUGUUCGGAAUUACUGGGCAUAAAGGGUGCGUAGGCGGCUUGUUAAGUCAGGGGUGAAAUCCCACGGCCCAACCGUGGAACUGCCUUUGAUACUGGCGAUCUUGAGUCCGGGAGAGGUGAGUGGAACUGCGAGUGUAGAGGUGAAAUUCGUAGAUAUUCGCAAGAACACCAGUGGCGAAGGCGGCUCACUGGCCCGGUACUGACGCUGAGGUGCGAAAGCGUGGGGAGCAAACAGG